rnacentral:lncRNA from 1 species
CUUUAGGUGACUGGUGAUUUAAGUUCAACUAUUUUGACUAAUUUAACGGAUAAACAUUAACAAUAAAAUACAGAAAAAAGGGUCGCCGACAUCAUCUCGAAUACCUUGACAAGAAAGUGAUUUGUGACGGUUUUUGUCAACGAACUGUACAGUGAUUUUUUAAAAACGCACAACGAACGCGACACAUUUAGUGGAACGAACAAUACAGUAAGAGAAAACUUAUUUACUAUGAUAUUGAGUUUAUUCUCAGUUCUAGGGAACAUUUGAAGGCACGUAGUAAUUCAAAGUAUAGUUAGUUGUUAUUGCUUAAGGUAUUAAUACGCAAAGGUGUAUGCACGAAAAGAUAUUCAGCAUUGUUUAUCUCAUAAAACGUAUGAAAUUGCACCAUGUCUGUGCGUUUUGCAUCUAGCAGUUUUAUCAAACGUUCUAUGCAAUAUCUAAAACUAACAACAAUUGUAUAAUUGAAUAAAUAAACUAGCAUGCACAUUGACAUAUUUAUAUAUACUCAAAUAAGUUCUAGAGAGGCAUUCCAAAUUGUUGUCAUCCUAAAUAUUGUCCUGAUUAUCGCUUCGAACGCGUCAACGUCCG